rnacentral:rRNA from 1 species
UGAGCAAUCUGCCCUUCUCUUUGGAAUAAGCGUUGGAAACGACGUCUAAUGCCGAAUACGACCUCCUUUCGCAUGAUCGGAGGUGGAAAGCUCCGGCGGAGAAGGAUGAGCUCGCGGCCUAUCAGCUAGUUGGUGUGGGUAAUGGCCCACCCAAGGCGACGACGGGUAGCCGGCCUGAGAGGGUGACCGGCCACACUGGGACUGAGACACGGCCCAGACUCCUACGGGAGGNAG